rnacentral:lncRNA from 1 species
CGUGUUGUUUAUUCUUUAGUUUUCUAUUUUGUGUCGUGUGUACUAUUGUUUUUCUGUUUGUCUUUUUCAUUUUUAGCAUUGGCGUUGUCAGUUUGUUUUAGAUUUAUGAGUUUGACUGUCCCUUUAGUAUCUUUCGUCCCUCUUUUACAAAGACAAAUAAAGGAACCCUAUAAAACGUAAUUAAGAUGAUAAACAACGUCACCUAGAAUCUAUAGUUCAAACCAUCUAGUGUUAUAAGUAAAGUCGAUAAGGAAUAUUU